rnacentral:rRNA from 1 species
UGGCGGACGGGUGAGUAAUGUCUGGGAAACUGCCUGAUGGAGGGGGAUAACUACUGGAAACGGUAGCUAAUACCGCAUAACGUCGCAAGACCAAAGAGGGGGACCUUCGGGCCUCUUGCCAUCGGAUGUGCCCAGAUGGGAUUAGCUAGUAGGUGGGGUAACGGCUCACCUAGGCGACGAUCCCUAGCUGGUCUGAGAGGAUGACCAGCCACACUGGAACUGAGACGCGGUCCAG